rnacentral:rRNA from 1 species
CACGGCGCACGGGGGCGUAACACGUGGGCAAUCUGCCCUUUGAUGGGGAAUAACCCGCCGAAAGGCGGGCUAAUUCCGCAUAAGAUUCCCGGAACUUCGGUUCUGGAUUGAAAGCAGCAAUGCGUCGAAGGAGGAGCCCGCGCCCGAUUAGCUAGUCGGUGAGGUAACGGCUCACCAAGGCUGUGAUCGGUGGCUGGUCUGAGAGGAUGAUCAGCCACACUGGAACUGAGACACGGUCCAGACUCCUACGGGAGGCAGCAGUGGGGAAUCUUGCACAAUGGGCGAAAGCCUGAUGCAGUGACGCCGCGUGGGGGAUGAAGCAUUUCGGUGUGUAAACCCCUUUCGACUGGGAAGAAUACCUCGCAAGAGGGGUGACGGUACCAGUAGAAGAAGCCCCGGCUAACUACGUGCCAGCAGCCGCGGUAAGACGUAGGGGGCCAGCGUUGUUCGGAAUUACUGGGUGUAAAGGGUUCGUAGGCGGUGCGGCAAGUUGGGAGUGAAAUCUCUGGGCUUAACCCAGAGGCUGCUUCCAA